rnacentral:rRNA from 1 species
AUACGAGGGGUGCAAGCGUUAUUCGGAAUCAUUGGGCGUAAAGGGUGUGUAGGCGGCGUACUAAGUCAACUGUUAAAUCCCCCAGCCUAACUGGGGACCAGCGGUAGAUACUGGUAUGCUAGAGGAUGGAAGAGAGAAGCGGAAUUCUUGGAGUAGCGGUAAAAUGCGUAGAUCUCAAGAGGAACACCGAUGGCGAAGGCAGUUUCUUGGUCCAUUUCUGACGCUAAGGCACGAAAGCGUGGGGAGCAAACAGGAUUAGAAACCCUAGUAGUCC